rnacentral:rRNA from 1 species
CCCUUAGAUGUUCUGGGCUGCACGCGCGCUACACUGAAGCUAUCAACACGUUUUCCCUCCCUGAGAAGGGCGGGUAACCUUUUGAAUCAGCUUCGUGGUAGGGAUCGGGGCUUGCAAUUGUUCCCCGUGAACCAGGAAUUCCUAGUAGACGCGAGUCAUAAGCUCGCAUCGAUUAAGUCCCUGCCCUUUGUACACACCGCCCGUCGCUACUACCGAUUGAACGUUUUAGUGAGGCAUUUGGACCGACGCAUCUCAGUUUAACCGCUGGUUUGUGUUGGAAAGACUUCCAAACUUUAGCGUUUAGAGGAAGUAAAAGUCGUAACA